UGGGGAAUAUUGGACAAUGGGCGCAAGCCUGAUCCAGCCAUGCCGCGUGAGUGACGAAGGCCUUAGGGUUGUAAAGCUCCUUCGGCGGGGAAGAUAAUGACGGUACCCGCAGAAGAAGCCCCGGCUAACUCUGUGCCAGCAGCCGCGGUAAUACAGAGGGGGCAAGCGUUGUUCGGAAUCACUGGGCGUAAAGCGCACGUAGGUGGAUAGUUAAGUUCGGGGUGAAAUCCCAGGGCUCAACCCUGGAACUGCCUCGGAUACUGGCUAUCUCGAGUCCGGAAGAGGUGAGUGGAAUUCCUAGUGUAGAGGUGAAAUUCGUAGAUAUUAGGAAGAACACCGGUGGCGAAGGCGGCUCACUGGUCCGGUACUGACACUGAGGUGCGAAAGCGUGGGGAGCAAACAGGAUUAGAUACCCAAGUAGUCCCUGAGCGGGCUGGCAAGGCGCAU
rnacentral:rRNA from 1 species